AUCAAAUCGUUGAGUAAGAAUAGUACACGAAAAAUCCUUCUUUACAGAGAGCUGGGUGUGGUGGAAACCGGUAUGAAGGUUUUGUGGAAUGGACUUACGAGAGAUAUCCUGAACCUGAGUAGGGUUAUCCGGUUUUCACCGUUAUAUGAGUAGGAUUGAUGUAAAGUCAAUCUAAAGAGGGUUCAAGGGAAAACCUUGUUCCAACCUGAGGUGGCACCGCGGUUAAUUAUCGUCCUCUAU
rnacentral:ncRNA from 1 species